ensembl:miRNA
AAGAUCCUGCUGAUUCUACCCUUGGGUUUGAGCACACAUUGUAAAGCUACUUUUAAACUCUAAUGGGAGAGACAGCAGGAUUCUCC